AGUGAACGCUGGCGGCAGGCCUAACACAUGCAAGUCGAGCGGCAGCGCGGGGGCAACCCUGGCGGCGAGCGGCGGACGGGUGAGGAAUUCGUCGGAAUCUGCCUUUUUGUGGGGGAUAACGUAGGGAAACUUACGCUAAUACCGCAUACGUCCUACGGGAGAAAGUGGGGGACCGCAAGGCCUCACGCAGAAAGAUGAGCCGACGACCGAUUAGCUAGUUGGUGGGGUAAAGGCCCACCAAGGCGACGAUCGGUAGCUGGUCUGAGAGGAUGAUCAGACACACUGGGACUGGGACACGGCCCAGACUCCUACGGGAGGCAGCAGUGGGGAAUAUUGGACAAUGGGCGCAAGCCUGAUCCAGCCAUGCCGCGUGUGUGAAGAAGGCCUUCGGGUUGUAAAGCACUUUUGUCCGGAAAGAAAUCCCUGGAGCUAAUACCAUCGGGGGAUGACGGUACCGGAAGAAUAAGCACCGGCUAACUUCGUG
rnacentral:rRNA from 1 species